GGCUUUGAAACAAUUACAUUUGCAAAAUGCUACAACCAUUACAUAAGACUCUCAUCUACCUAAAUUGUCAUUCAACUAGGUAUAUUACACAACAUUACCUAACUUUCACACAUACCACAUUGCCUAACUUUCAAACAUACCAAUUGCCUAACUUACAUUACACAACAUUGCCAAACCAAACCAUAAACACAAAGGCCUAAGAAAUAAACAGAGCAAUCCAUAACUUCUUCUCUCUUGCUCUCGCACGCCCAAUAUGAUCUUCAACUUCUCUCUUUGUCCUCAGCAGCCAAGCCAUCAUAGCUCUCUCACGGGAAGGCAUUUCAAUAUCAACCCAUACAAAAAACCCACAACCGUUUUUCCUCCUCUGCAUUCAAACAACAAUUCCAUCACAUUCUCACAAUUUUUUGUCCAAUUUUAGAUAAAAUAGCAAAUCCAAAACCUACCUCUGACUUUGGAGACACAAAGAACCUCCGAAGUGGGUUGGACUCUGUCCAAGAAGUCUACAACCGAGCAAGCCUCUCACAAUAGCAAUGAGGUGCAGCAAUGGCAAGCUCCUCUCCUCAUAGAGGUUCUUUCCUCAUCUUCACACCCUUUAAUCGAAGAAAGAUGGAGAGAUUUUUCUCUGGGGAACCUUAAAUCCUUCAAAUGGUGGGAAGUAAUUUUUCUGGGUUUAAAAACUCUAUUAUUGAAGAAGAAGAGAGAGGAUUGUAAUCUGGGGUCCGCUUCACCCCCUU
rnacentral:lncRNA from 1 species